rnacentral:rRNA from 1 species
GGUCUUGACAUACUCUGCAAGCUAUAGCAAUAUAGUGGAGGUUAUCAGGGAUACAGGUGGUGCAUGGUUGUCGUCAGCUCGUGUCGUGAGAUGUUAGGUUAAGUCCUAAAACGAGCGCAACCCUUGUCAUUAGUUGCCAGCAUGUCAUGAU